rnacentral:rRNA from 1 species
CAUGUUUUGUAACUGGAAUGGACAGAUGUUAACCUUCUCUGUGAGUAUCAAUUGGAGGGCAAGUCUGGUGCCAGCAGCCGCGGUAAUUCCAGCUCCAAUAGCGUAUAUUAAAGUUGUUGCGGUUAAAAAGCUCGUAGUUGGAUUUCUGCUGAAACAAACCGGUCCGCCCUCUGGGUGAGCAUCUGGUUUUGUUUUGGCAUAUGCUUAGACUUUGCAGCUGCACUUGACUGUGUGGUGCGAAGGCUGAGCCUUUUACUUUGAGGAAAUCAGAGUGUUUCAAGCAGGCCAUUGCCUUGAAUACACUAGCAUGGAAUAAUAUGAUAUGACUGUGGUUUUAUUUUGUUGGCUUUUAGAAUUAAAGUAAUGGUUAAUAGGGAUAGUUGGGGGCAUUCAUAUUUAACUGUCAGAGGUGAAAUUCUUGGAUUUGUUAAGGAUGAACGACUGCGAAAGCAUUUGCCAAGGAUGCUUUCAUUGAUCAAGAACGAAAGUUAGGGGAUCGAAGACGAUCAGAUACCGUCCUAGUCUUAACCAUAAACCAUGCCGACUAGAGAUUGGAGGUCGUUAACUAUA